UGUGGGCUGAUCGCCGCCGGGAGGGGCGAAAGGGCGGAGGGAAAGAGAGAGAGAGCGCCUGCCACCACACGCGCUUGCUCGCUCGCGAACGCACAACCGCCACCGUACCCGUCGUGAAACCGACUGCGCGCAUGUACACUGCGUUGAG